GACGAACGCUGGCGGCGUGCCUAAUACAUGCAAGUCGAGCGCGGGAAGCUUGCGGAAUCCUUCGGGAGGAAGUGAGCGGACCGAGCGGCGGACGGGUGAGUAACACGUGGGCAACCUGCCCGUAAGACGGGGAUAACCCCGGGAAACCGGGGCUAAUACCGGAUAGGUGACCUUUCUGCAUGGAGGGGUCAUGAAAGGCGGCGGAAGCCGUCGCUUACGGAGGGGCCCGCGGCGCAUUAGCUAGUUGGUGAGGGAAGGGCUCACCAAGGCGACGAUGCGUAGCCGGCCUGAGAGGGUGAACGGCCACACUGGGACUGAGACACGGCCCAGACUCCUACGGGAGGCAGCAGUAGGGAAUCUUCCGCAAUGGACGGAAGUCUGACGGAGCAACGCCGCGUGAGUGAGGAAGGCCUUCGGGUCGUAAAGCUCUGUUGUUCGUGAAGAAGGGGUUGGCCAGGAAAUGGGCCCGACCAUUGAACGGUAAGCGAAACCAAAAAAGCCC
rnacentral:rRNA from 1 species